rnacentral:rRNA from 1 species
AACGUCCGUCGUGAAGAGGGAAACAACCCAGACCGCCAGCUAAGGUCCCAAAGUCAUGGUUAAGUGGGAAACGAUGUGGGAAGGCACAGACAGCCAGGAUGUUGGCUUAGAAGCAGCCAUCAUUUAAAGAAAGCGUAAUAGCUCACUGGUCGAGUCGGCCUGCGCGGAAGAUGUAACGGGGCUAAACCAUGCACCGAAGCUGCGGCAGCGACACUAUGUGUUGUUGGGUAGGGGAGCGUUCUGUAAGCCUGCGAAGGUGACCUGUGAGGGUUGCUGGAGGUAUCAGAAGUGCGAAUGCUGACAUAAGUAACGAUAAAGCGGGUGAAAAGCCCGCUCGCCGGAAGACCAAGGGUUCCUGUCCAACGUUAAUCGGGGCAGGGUGAGUCGACCCCUAAGGCGAGGCCGAAAGGCGUAGUCGAUGGGAAACAGGUUAAUAUUCCUGUACUUGGUGUUACUGCGAAGGGGGGACGGAGAAGGCUAUGUUAGCCGGGCGACGGUUGUCCCGGUUUAAGCAUGUAGGCUG